rnacentral:rRNA from 1 species
UACAGAGGUCCCAAGCGUUGUUCGGAUUCAUUGGGCGUAAAGGGUGCGUAGGUGGCGGGGUAAGUUGGAUGUGAAAUCCCGGGGCUCAACCCUGGAACUGCAUUCAAUACUGCUCUGCUAGAGUACUGGAGAGGAGAUUGGAAUUCAUGGUGUAGCAGUGAAAUGCGUAGAUAUCGUAAGGAAGACCAGUGGCGAAGGCGGCUCACUGGCCCGAUACUGACGCUGAGGCACGAAAGCGUGGGGAGCAAACAGG